rnacentral:lncRNA from 1 species
AGAAGCCCGCUGACACCCAGACGCGCUCUUUCACAGCCUGGGAACCCACGUCAACCCCCUUACCUCGCCAUGCAUCACUCAUCUUAACCGACGUGAAUGCAGGUGCGGCGAGUGCCAUCCCCAACGGUGGAGAGACGGGCACCGCUCACUGACCCCGCAGCGAGGCACGGCCAGGACACCGCAACUCACGCAGCCUGAAAAGCCUAAACUGAAGAGGCGGGGCGGGAGCGAUCCCGCGAGAAGACCGGAGGUGGCGAGACCGCGUCUCUUCGUAUCGCGAGGCUUGCGCUACUUCUCGCGAGAGCUACCGGAAGUCUUGGCCGCCGGCUGCCAGCGUCGGGCCUUAGGUGAGAACUGUGCUACGUAAUGACCGGACGCGGCUCGGAGCCUUCAGGUAGCAGCCACCUGCCUACACUGCGAGUAAUGAAGACUCAACAGAACCCAAAGCAAGAUGAAGUUCCUUCUGUAUAUCAUCUUUGCUGUUAGCUGGAAUUUUAUUGUAACAAGUUAAUGAAAUGUGUGUGGUGGUUUAUGAGCCAGUGGUAACAGAAGAAUAGCAGGCAUGAAAGCACUGACAGAGUUGCUUCAACAAUAAACUACAUAAAUUUUGGAUACCGCAUAUGUUGGGGUAGGUUGUUCAAAAAUAUAGUACCAAUAAAUUCAAUUGUUUUUAAAAUAUACAUGUAGUCAUGUUUAGCUACACUGAUUCUAAAGGAAUGUGACAAUAGCCGUACCAUCAUAAAAACAAAGCUGGAAACAGCAUGAUGUUUUCAAAAUUUGGCAAAAUAACCAGAAUCAGAAACUUAAUGAAUUUCAGCCCUCAAAGCAUGUUAGAAAAUUCUGCAAGAACAUGUAAGUUGUCAUUCUAAGGCAAACUUUUAAACUGGGUCAUGUUUGAAGAUAAAUGUUCAUACCACAAGGUGUUUGUUUAAUGAAUGUUAUGUUGCAUUUGAUUAUUACAGAGAUAGUUCUGCUUAAUGAGGAUUCUU